rnacentral:rRNA from 1 species
AUUGAACGCUGGCGGCAUGCUUUACACAUGCAAGUCGAACGGCAGCGCGGGCUUCGGCCUGGCGGCGAGUGGCGAACGGGUGAGUAAUACAUCGGAACGUGCCCAGUAGUGGGGGAUAGCUCGGCGAAAGCCGGAUUAAUACCGCAUACGACCUGAGGUCGAAAGCGGGGGAUCUUCGGACCUCGCGCUAUUGGAGCGGCCGAUGGCAGAUUAGCUAGUUGGUGGGGUAAAGGCCUACCAAGGCGACGAUCUGUAGCUGGUCUGAGAGGACGACCAGCCACACUGGGACUGAGACACGGCCGAGACUCCUACGGGAGGCAGCAGUGGGGAAUUUUGGACAAUGGGCGAAAGCCUGAUCCAGCAAUGCCGCGUGUGUGAUGAAGGCCUUCGGGUUGUAAAGCACUUUUGGCGGGAACGAAAAGGACUGUGCCAAUACCACGGUUCGAUGACGGUACCCGCAGAAUAAGCACCGGCUAACUACGUG